rnacentral:rRNA from 1 species
GAUGAACGCUGGCGGCGUGCCUAAUACAUGCAAGUCGAGCGAACAGACGAGGAGCUUGCUGCUUCGACGUUAGCGGCGGACGGGUGAGUAACACGUAGGUAACCUACCUAUAAGACUGGGAUAACCUCGGGAAACCGGAGCUAAUACCGGAUAAUAUUUCGAACCGCAUGGUUCGAUAGUGAAAGAUGGCUUUGCUAUCACUUAUAGAUGGACCUGCGCCGUAUUAGCUAGUUGGUAAGGUAACGGCUUACCAAGGCAACGAUACGUAGCCGACCUGAGAGGGUGAUCGGCCACACUGGAACUGAGACACGGUCCAGACUCCUACGGGAGGCAGCAGUAGGGAAUCUUCCGCAAUGGGCGAAAGCCUGACGGAGCAACGCCGCGUGAGUGAUGAAGGUCUUCGGAUCGUAAAACUCUGUUAUUAGGGAAGAACAAACGUGUAAGUAACUGUGCACGUCUUGACGGUACCUAAUCAGAAAGCCACGGCUAACUACGUG